rnacentral:rRNA from 1 species
AUUGAACGCUGGCGGCAGGCCUAACACAUGCAAGUCGAGCGGAGCGGCGGACGGGUGAGUAAUGCCUAGGAAUCUGCCUGGUAGUGGGGGAUAACGUCCGGAAACGGGCGCUAAUAUCGCAUACUAUCAGAAGAGCCUAGGUCGGAGUAGCUAGUUGGUGGGGUAAAGGCCUACCAAGGCGACGAUCCGUAAAUGGUCUGAGAGGAUGAUAAGUCACACUGGAACUGAGACACGGUCCAUCCUCCUACGGGAGGCAGAAGUGGGGAAUAUUGGACAAUGGGCGAAAGCCUGAUCCAGACAUGCCGCGUGUGUGAAGAAGGUCUUCGGAUUGUAAAGCACUUUAAGUGGGGAUGCGUUACCCACAGAAUAAGCACCGGCUAACUUCGUGCCAGCCGCCGCGGUAAUAC